GUUUGAUCAUGGCUCAGAACGUACGCUGGCGGCACGCCUAACACAUGCAAGUCAGACGCAGUAGCAAUACUGAGUGGCAAACGGGUGAGUAUAAUGUGGGAAUCUGCCUUUUGGUUUGGAAUAACACGAGGAAACUUGUGCUAAUACCGGAUAAGCCCUUACGGGGAAAGUUUUAACGCCGAAAGAUGAGCCUGCACUUGAUUAGCUAGUUGGUAAGGUAAAGGCUUACCAAGGCAACGAUCAAUAGCUGUUCUUAGAGGAAGACCAGCCACAUUGGGACUGAGACACGGCCCAGACUCCUACGGGAGGCAGCAGUGGGGAAUCUUGCACAAUGGGGGAAACCCUGAUGCAGCGAUGCCGCGUGAGUGAAGAAGGCCCUUGGGUUGUAAAACUCUUUCGUCGGGGAAGAAAAUGACUGUACCCGAAUAAGAAGGUCCGGCUAACUUCGUGCCAGCAGCCGCGGUAAUACGAAGGGACCUAGCGUAGUUCGGAAUUACUGGGCUUAAAGAGCUCGUAGGUGGUUAAAAAAGUUGAUGGUGAAAUCCCAAGGCUCAACCUUGGAACUGCCAUCAAAACUUUUUAGCUAGAGUGUGAUAGAGGUAAGUGGAAUUUCUAGUGUAGAGGUGAAAUUCGUAGAUAUUAGAAAGAACACCAAAUGCGAAGGCAACUUACUGGGUCACUACUGACACUGAGGAGCGAAAGCAUGGGUAGCGAAGAGGAUUAGAUACCCUCGUAGUCCAUGCCGUAAACGAUGUGUGCUAGACGUUGGAAAUAUAUUUUUCAGUGUCGCAGCGAAAGCAUUAAGCACACCGCCUGGGGAGUACGACCGCAAGGUUAAAACUCAAAUGAAUUGACGGGGACCCGCACAAGCAG
rnacentral:rRNA from 1 species